GCUUCCGUAGUGUAGUGGCUAUCACGGCUGUCUCACACACAGCAGGUCCUCAGUUCGAACCUGGGCGGAAGCA
rnacentral:tRNA from 1 species